rnacentral:rRNA from 1 species
UACGUAGGUGGCAAGCGUUGUCCGGAUUUACUGGGCGUAAAGAGCGCGCAGGCGGUCGAUUUAGUCGCGUGUGAAAGCCCCCGGCUCAACUGGGGAGGGUCACGCGAUACUGAUCGACUCGAAGGCAGGAGAGGGUAGUGGAAUUCCCGGUGUAGUGGUGAAAUGCGUAGAUAUCGGGAGGAACACCAGUGGCGAAGGCGACUACCUGGCCUGUUCUUGACGCUGAGGCGCGAAAGCUAGGGGAGCAAAUGGG